UACGUAGGGUGCGAGCGUUGUCCGGAAUUACUGGGCGUAAAGAGCUCGUAGGUGGUUUGUCGCGUUGUCCGUGAAAACUCACAACUCAAUUGUGGGCGUGCGGGCGAUACGGGCAGACUGGAGUACUGCAGGGGAGACUGGAAUUCCUGGUGUAGCGGUGGAAUGCGUAGAUAUCUGGAGGAACACCGGUGGCGAAGGCGGCAUCCUGGACCAUUACUGACGCUGAGGAGCGAAAGCCAGGGGAGCAAACGGG
rnacentral:rRNA from 1 species